CUGAGCUAAAUCCCCAGCAACUUUAGGGAAUUAUAUUGACAAAAUAUUACAUUGCAAGAGUUUGUAUUUUAUUUUGCUCCAAUGAUUUUAUAGCUCUUGUGAUAUGGUACUAUUGAAAUGUAAAAUAUUCCACUGUUUGAAAAAGAAAACAUAUAUCACGAAGAAUAUUUCCUUCUCCCAGCAACAAUGCCUCAAAUGCUUCUUUCAUUGAAUGUGCCUGCCUAACUAAUUUUGGAAUAUGUGCACACUUAAGACUUGGCAUCAUACUUCGCAUACUGAAAGAAAAACAAAACCCUGUUUUGAAAGUCUUUAAGGUUAAGCACUUCAGAGGCUGAGACAGGAGGAUCACUAUGAGUUUGAGGCCAGCCUGAACUACAUAGUGAGACCCUGUCUUAAAAACACAAAAAACGAGAAAAUACUUAACAUUUAAGGUUAAGAUGGCAUAAUUAAGUAGAAAAUGUUCUCCUUUACCAGCUGUCUCAAAAAUUUCAUGUCCAAUCUUAUCAGCAAAAUUCAGAAGCGUUGGUAGACCUUUUUCAAAAAUCAUACAAAGCUUUAUUUGCAUUUUAUACAAAGGCCAGUAUUUCAUGGAUGUUUAUUGCUCUCUGAGGUCUGAAGGGAGAAAAUAGCUUUAGUAAGGAUGGGAUUCUUAUUAAAAUGAAAGUGUUAUACAUGGUACAUGAUCUUGUGUUUUUUAGCUAUAUAGCUCAGAAGCCCAUUUAGUAUAUUUAAACUGUAAAUUUUGCAUGCACCCACGGACUAAACUGUAAAUUUUGCAUGCACCCACGGCUAAUUAAGCUUCUAGAAAAUAUCUUUUUACCUAAGUGCUUCUGGGGUCUAUAAGGUGAUUGAAUCAGGAGUGGAUAAAAUUAUGUUUGAGUUACUCUUCUACUUUGCUUUAUGCUUCCUAGGUGAUAUGCGGAGUUCAAUCAAAGUGCAUUCUAGUUGUCCUCACACAAAACUACUUUUGGGAUUUGAUAUGUUCAGGCAGGUACUUGUGGUUGCCAUAAUUAAGGAAUUUAUAAUAUUAAUAGGGCUGGCAGCUUUGGAUGUACCUUCUGUCCACUCCUGUUACCAUAUUUAAAAAGCAGAAACAAAUAUUUUGUCUGGCACUAGUUUCUAUAAAAGGUUUUACUACUAGUGAUAAUAACAGGACCAGCAGAUGAGGAUCAGCUUUCCAGUGGCUGCUAGAAUUAUAUGAUUUGAAUACAUUGUAUUUUAGUAAUUUCUCACACAUUUGCUGUUAGAUGUGGGGAAAAUACCUAUUCCACUGAUCAAGUUACAGAAUGAACGUAUUUUAAAUUUAUUUAGGGGGAAAUGCCCCUCCCCCCCCCAAAAAAGCAAAGAGUGGAAUUGUAGUAGACAAAAGGAGCUGCUCUUUUUCCUUUGUUUGCUUGAUCAUUGGGAUUUAAAAAUUUUUUUAAUGCAUGUCUUUUAAAUUAAUUGGGUAAUGUUUUUCUAAAAUUAAAAUUUUCUUCUUCCUAUAGCCCUGCCAUAGGACAGGCUGAGGCUGAGUCUCAGUGUUGCCCUGUUCAGUCUGAGCAGCAGAAUUUCAGCAUUUGCUACUUACUGGUAGAGAAGAAAAAUCCCACAGCACUGCCAGUACAGGUUAGUUUAAUCUGUAAGUACCUGAUGUUCCUAUUUUUUUCAAACAUAUCCAUAUAACCCACACAAGGAAGAAAGCUGUGCAGUACUUAAAUGUGAGUAUAACUAAUAAUAGAUCCAUUGGACACUUUCAAACACUUAGUACUUGGGGCAAAGUACUUCUAGGUUUGCUAGCUGCAGUUGCAAUAAUGGUUUAAUACUUUAUUACCUUGUACCCAAAUUAUGUUGUAUGUAAAAGGAAGAGUGAAAGAUCCAGUUGGUUCCGCCCUUGUUGGUAUACAAUAAAGAGUCCAGGACUUUGAGUCCAGGGUCUUUGACUUAAGCCACUCCAGUGGUGGUUCUCAUAUUCACCUUUUAACUUUACAGUAUGAAUCAACCAGAGAAUAUGUAAGUUUCCUCACUUCUAGCAGUGAUAAAUGAUGUGUAAUCAUAAGUUAGAAAAUAUUUUUAUACUAGUUAUUUGAUCUUAAGUGUUCUUAGUUACAAGUAAAUAAUGAUUUUUUUAUUCAUCUUUUUUUGUUUAAAAAAAAAGUUGUUAAUGUUGCUGUGCCCCCAGGGGUUCAUUGUACUUUGAACUAAAAAUAAUAUUCAGAUGAAAGCUGACUACUUGUCAAGAAACCUAGCAAGAUUUCUCAAGUAAUUUUUUUGGAAGGGCAACAAGGUUUUUGAAAGAUGUUAACAUUUUUUUAUUAACAUUUUUUCAUUGUAACAGAGUUCAUUGAACCAUUCUUGAGAGAUUUUCUUUAACCCUUAAAUAUUACACUUUAUGUUGGUACAACCUAAAAAUACUGAAGAGGGAGGAAUAAAGUCUACAACUUUGUACAAGCCUGAAGCAUCCUUCCAGAUCUGUAGCACUGAUGCUAAACUUGAUGGGUUCCUUCUCUUUAGCUUAAGCAUUAUGUUUAGCUUGAGAUGGUCUAGCCGUGAAAGUAGUUCAUCUUGUACUCUCUUACACUGGAUAGUGAUUAGCCAUUCUGAAAAUAGAACAUCUUUAUCUGGGAGUCCUGUGUUAAGUCUUUAAAAACAAAACCUAGGGGCAGGGAUUUACCUCAGUGGCGCCUUGCCUGCCUCGAAAGUGCAAGGUCCUGAGUUCGAUCCCUGGUACCAAAAAAAAAAACAACCUGGGUUUGUCAAUUCAUAAGAGAUGUUUUAAGACAAAACUGCCCAAAGGCUUAAGUUUUGUUACCUUUCACAGUUUAAUCUGUAUAAGAAAUGGCAUAGAUACAGUGGAAAUGGUUCUCCUUCAAAUCAUCUCUUUUAAAGCUGCUUUUCUGGUGAGUACUAUCCUGUACUUCUAUGUAUCACCAUUUUUACCUUUUAAAAUUAACUGAAAUCGGACUGAAGAGGUGAGCAAUCUGAAUUUCAUGAUGUCCUUGGAUAUUACUUGCAUUAGGAAUCUUAGAAUGAUUAUUUUACCACCACACAUUUCCCCUACUUCUGCUUUACUUUUUCCCAACCUUCACUUAAUAAAAUAUAUAUACAAACUCAUAAGGCUUAAGGUUUUCCUUUUAGUUGGUAGCCAAAUGAUUUUUCUCAUUGCUUUUAAUUCUUGCAUAAUUUAAAAUACCAGAACUUCUUUGUGUCCUUAUUAAAGCUGACAUUGCAGUGACUCUUGACUAAUUCAGUUGGGAAAGAGGAGGGUUCAUCAAAAUUGGUCGUGCAGACCAAUUGAUUAUAAGGUUCUCUUUAAGUCUUAGUUUUCAAGUGUGUUAUUUCAUAAAUUAUUCAAAUUCUUUGGUUAAAUAUAUUGGUUUCUGGGACUUGUGUAUACCCAUAAAAAUUAGCCUUUGAGUGUUUAUGCCCUGUUUUAUCCUUAACAUGUACAACACAAGGAUUUCUUUCCCUCUGGUUUUUAGCCACAUUCCAGAUGAUGUCAAUAGAGUUUAAAGCUGUUCUCACAUUGUUUUCUGCUUAAUCUUUGUGAAUCUGUAAACUCUCAUGCUUUUUCAUAUAAGCAGUCAUACUUUGCUAAAUAAAUAUGAAAUUAAUAAUCUUGAGUAUGUGAUACAGUAAUGUUCUUUUAGAUAAACACUCAAAGUAUGAACCCUCAAUUUGUGUCUUAAGAUUUAAUGGAAAGUAAGUUCUAAGGAACUGUGUCCUUUCCUAGCAGGAAAAACCAGACUGAAAAACUGGUAAGUAUGUAAUUUUAAGUGCAUGUCAUAGAGUAAGUAGUCACAUUUCCAUACUGUAAUAGUUAACAAGAAUUCUUAAAUCUCCUUUGCGACUUAAAGUGUAUCUCUUAACAUUUUUCACAAAUCUAUGUGGACAGUGAUUAAACUGAAGUAUACUUGUCUGGUUUUCUUUUUUUAGAAUUUUGUAUAGUAUUUUAAAUACUAAUUUUUUUAUUUCAAGCUUUUUUCAGGGUAGAAAUAAGUGGCUGUCAAAAGAAAAUAUCAAGAAGAUUACUUAAAUAUCUUCGUUUAAAACCCAGUAAUGACUUUCAGUUUACUUAAAUCUUCUGUUUUUCAGCUCUGGUUAAAACUGACACUAGGCAGCUGAUCAAAAUUUAAAAACUCAUUGUACUUUUUGUGGAAUAUUUUAGGAAUUAGUGCAUAAUUGUAAAAUGGCAUUAAGCUAUACUUGAUUUACAUAGAGGCUGUGGUUUUAAGGGAGAAAAAUUUGUUUAAAUUUGGAGACCUCAACCCUAAUGUACUAAUAAUUAAGAUAAUAGAGAUUAGGAGACCUCAACCCUAAUGUACUAAUAAUUAAGAUAAUAGAGAUUAAAGUGAAAAGUUUUUAUUUGGUGCAGCCAUGAAACAUGAUUAUUGGUCCUUUUUAAAAAUCAACCCAGUAUAACAUCUAUUUUAUGAAGUGAUACAAGAUCCCAGAGGGUUGUUAGAAAAGAGGGAGCCUGUCUCUUAAUUUAGUCUCAAGGCUUUACUCUCAGCCUUUAUUUUGUGAAGGAAUGCAGUAAAGAAUAAGUAACCAUAUUUGAACAAUAUGGUUGUAAGAAGUACCUUAACAGCACAUGGGGAGGAUAAAUGGCUAGUCUGAAAGUAUGAUUUAAAUGGUCUAGCUACCCAAAAAUCUUCCCUUAAAGCAUUUUUUAUGUAUCUGUAUUAGCUCAAUAAAGGUUGUAAUUACUAGCUUUUAAAUUUUAUCAGCAUUAAAGGUAUAAUACAUGGAUUAUGUGAGAGUUUUAAUUUUUCUUAUGCAAGUAAUGUUAGUACAUCCCUUCACUUGGUUAAAUAACUAGAAGCUUUUGGAAAACAAAACGAGAAAAUCACAUUUGCAGUAUAUAUGUAAGUUUAAUUUUUGUCCACCAAUAGAUUUUUUUUUUUUUUGGUACCAGGGAUCUAACUCAAGACCUUGUGCUUGUGAGGUAGGUGCAGUGCCUCUGAGCUAAAUCCCUUGCCCUGAGAGAUUUUCUUUUCUUUUUUCUUUUUUUUUUUGUACCAGGGAUCCAACUAAGGACCUUGUGCUUGGAAGGCAGGCGACAGCACCACUGAGCUAUAUCCCCAGCCCCCGAGAUAUUUUCUUUAUGCAGUCAUACACUAAUUAGAUUAGAACUCAUGAAAGGACAUUGAAAUUGUUUUUCAUUUUUACAGUGCCCUAGGCACUGUUUAUUAGGCUUUUAAGUAAGCCAAAACUAAUGAAUAGUGAUUUCAUUAUCCAGUGAUUUUUAGUUUGUUAGAGAAUUACAAGUUUUACUUGGGCAUUAUUAAAAGUCAGUUUCUUUUUUUACGAGGAAAGGGUGGACUAUCUCCGUCAUUCAUUAACCUUUGAGUACCUGUUGUCUACAAAGAUGAAUAAAAUAAUUCAUUUGUUAUUUA
rnacentral:lncRNA from 1 species